rnacentral:rRNA from 1 species
AUUGAACGCUGGCGGCAGGCUUAACACAUGCAAGUCGAACGAUGAAACUCUAGCUUGCUAGAGAUGAUUAGUGGCGGACGGGUGAGUAACAUUUAGGAAUCUGCCUAGUAGUGGGGGAUAGCUCGGGGAAACUCGAAUUAAUACCGCAUACGACCUACGGGUGAAAGGGGGCGCAAGCUCUUGCUAUUAGAUGAGCCUAAAUCAGAUUAGCUAGUUGGUGGGGUAAAGGCCCACCAAGGCGACGAUCUGUAACUGGUCUGAGAGGAUGAUCAGUCACACCGGAACUGAGACACGGUCCGGACUCCUACGGGAGGCAGCAGUGGGGAAUAUUGGACAAUGGGGGCAACCCUGAUCCAGCCAUGCCGCGUGUGUGAAGAAGGCCUUGUGGUUGUAAAGCACUUUAAGCAGGGAGGAGAGGCUAAUGGUUAAUACCCAUUAGAUUAGACGUUACCUGCAGAAUAAGCACCGGCUAACUCUGUG